AACUGCCAUACCAUCCUCAUGGUAUGGCAGUAGAUUAUCUAAAUACUUGUAGUAAUGUAAACAGGAUAAUCCGAGACAAAACAGUUUCCACAGACUGACCAUGACUGAGUACAAGCUAGAGGUCACAACAGGUGACAGGCAAAAUGCAGGAACAUGGGACCACAUAUUCAUCACCUUAUUUGGAACUGAAGGGCAGAGUGAGCGAACUGAGUUGGACAACUUUGGCAUCGACUUUACAACUGGGACAACAGGGAAUUACACCAUGAACACCAAUUUGUCUCUGGGGAAACUUCUGCUGGUCAAGGUGGAGAAAG